rnacentral:rRNA from 1 species
AACGAACGCUGGCGGCAUGCCUAACACAUGCAGGUCGAACGAGACCUUCGGGUCUAGUGGCGCACGGGUGCGUAACGCGUGGGAACCUGCCCUUAGGUUCGGAAUAACUCCCCGAAAGGGGUGCUAAUACCGGAUAAUGUCUUCGGACCAAAGAUUUAUCGCCCUUGGAUGGGCCCGCGUUGGAUUAGCUAGUUGGUAGGGUAAAAGCCUACCAAGGCGACGAUCCAUAGCUGGUCUGAGAGGAUGAUCAGCCACACUGGGACUGAGACACGGCCCAGACUCCUACGGGAGGCAGCAGUGGGGAAUAUUGGACAAUGGGCGAAAGCCUGAUCCAGCAAUGCCGCGUGAGUGAUGAAGGCCUUAGGGUUGUAAAGCUCUUUUACCCGGGAUGAUAAUGACAGUACCGGGAGAAUAAGCUCCGGCUAACUCCGUG